GCGGAUGUGGCCAAGUGGGUCAAGGCAGUGGAUUGUGAAU
rnacentral:tRNA from 1 species